UACGUAGGGGGCAAGCGUUGUCCGGAUUUAUUGGGCGUAAAGAGCGUGUAGGCGGCUUGGUAGGUCCGCUGUGAAAACUCGAGGCUCAACCUCGAGAUGUCGGUGGAAACCAUUUGGCUAGAGUCCGGAAGAGGAGAAUGGAAUUCCUGGUGUAGCGGUGAAAUGCGCAGAUAUCAGGAAGAACACCCGUGGCGAAGGCGGUUCUCUGGGACGGUACUGACGCUGAGACGCGAAAGCGUGGGGAGCGAACAGG
rnacentral:rRNA from 1 species